rnacentral:lncRNA from 1 species
ACCCACGCGGCGCAGCUCCCAAAGUUGCAGACAGCCCGGCGAACCGCGCAAUGCGCUUCUUCUGCCUGCAGCAGAGAAAAGGAAAGAAAACUCCGCAGGGGCUCCGUUGGCUUCUCCACGAGUGACAACCAUGUUUUCCCAGAUAGAAGACCGGAGCCCUGCUCCUUUGCGAUCCGCCGAGGGCUGCAGAGAGCAUCCUCAUCCAUUUGGGCACCCCUGCCCAGGAAGAGCCCGGCCAUCCCUUUCCGGACUGGAUCCUUAAGAGGUGAAUUUUCUUCCGUGGAUUCCGAUUUGCUCCGUCUGACCAGCCUAGGCAAUCCAGCAUCGCGUGGUACCAGUGCCGCUGGGCACACUGGCUUCACGCCGGCUCCGCCUCACCAGCAAGCGCAUUCCCAGGUGGUCAGGCUCAGGAUGGACCAUGAGCUUUCAAAAAGGAAAAAGGUGGAAAUCCUCAACUAUGCUGCCAUCUGAAUAAGUGUUUCUUUGUAGAUGCACAGAGUCAAGGAAAAUUACAUCCCUGCAUUAUCUUUUUCUGGAGGAAAUUCGCAUUUGAAUUGAUGGACUGAAUAAAGCAGAUUGCAGUCCCCAGUGUGGAUGGGCUUGAUCCAGUCUUCUAAGGACCCAAAUAAAAUAGGUGGAGGAAGCUUGAAUUUUCUGCCUGACUGUGGCGCUGGGACACCCAUCUUCUCCUGCCCUUGAACUGGGACUGACACCAUCAGUGCUCCUGGUUCUCAGACCUUCGGACAGCAGACUUGGGGCCUUCUCGGCCUCCAUUAUUGUCUGCUUUUAGAUAUUUAACGGGAGAGGAAAAGAGAAAAUAUGAUUAAAGCCUUUGAAAGUCCAUUUCCAAGAAAUAAAAACUGCAGUAGGAAUUCUACAAAACUGAAAAAUCUUCAGGACUGGAAGAUCUAUCCAGAAAAGCCCAGUGGAUUAUAAUAACUUAUUAAAAUAUUUGUUUGGCAAGCCA